rnacentral:rRNA from 1 species
AGAGUUUGAUCAUGGCUCAGAACGUACGCUGGCGGCACGCCUAACACAUGCAAGUCGAACGAAGUAGCAAUACUUAGUGGCAGACGGGUGAGUAACAUGUAGGUAUCUGCCCUUUGGCCUGGAAUAACACGAGGAAACUUGUGCUAAUACCGGAUAAGUCUUUACGGAGAAAGCUUUAUGCACCAUUGGAUGAGCCUGCACUUGAUUAGUUUGUUGGUGGGGUAAUGGCCUACCAAGACUGUGAUCAAUAGCUGAUUUGAGAGGAUGAUCAGCCACAUUGGGACUGAGACACGGCCCAAACUCCUACGGGAGGCAGCAGUGGGGAAUCUUGCACAAUGGAGGAAACUCUGAUGCAGCGAUGCCGCGUGAGUGAAGAAGGCCUUUGGGUUGUAAAGCUCUUUCGUCGGGGAAGAAAAUGACUGUACCCGAAUAAGAAGGUCCGGCUAACUUCGUGCCAGCAGCCGCGGUAAUACGAAGGGACCUAGCGUAGUUCGGAAUUACUGGGCUUAAAGAGUUCGUAGGUGGUUGAAAAAGUUAGUGGUGAAAUCCCAGAGCUUAACUCUGGAACUGCCAUUAAAACUUUUCAGCUAGAGUAUGAUAGAGGAAAGCAGAAUUUCUAGUGUAGAGGUGAAAUUCGUAGAUAUUAGAAAGAAUACCAAUUGCGAAGGCAGCUUUCUGGAUCAUUACUGACACUGAGGAACGAAAGCAUGGGUAGCGAAGAGGAUUAGAUACCCUCGUAGUCCAUGCCGUAAACGAUGUGUGUUAGACGUUGGAAAUUUAUUUUCAGUGUCGCAGGGAAACCGAUAAACACACCGCCUGGGGAGUACGACCGCAAGGUUAAAACUCAAAUGAAUUGACGGGGACCCGCACAAGUAGUGGAGCAUGUGGUUUAAUUCGAAGAUACGCGCAGAACCUUACCAACACUUGACAUGUUCGUCGCGACUCUAAGAGAUUAGAGUUUUCGGUUCGGCCGGACGAAACACAGGUGCUGCAUGGCUGUCGUCAGCUCGUGUCGUGAGAUGUUGGGUUAAGUCCCGCAACGAGCGCAACCCUCACUUUUAGUUGCCAUCAUUAAGUUGGGCACUCUGAAAGAACUGCCAGUGAUAAGCUGGAGGAAGGUGGGGAUGACGUCAAGUCCUCAUGGCCCUUACGUGUUGGGCUACACACGUGCUACAAUGGUAUCUACAACAGGAAGCAAAACGGCAACGUUAAGCAAAUCCCGAAAAGAUACCUCAGUUCGGAUUGCACUCUGCAACUCGAGUGCAUGAAGCUGGAAUUACUAGUAAUCGUGGAUCAGCGUGCCACGGUGAAUGCGUUCCCGGGUCUUGUACACACCGCCCGUCACACCAUGGGAGUUGGUUCUACCUUAAGGCAAGGUUUUAAACCCUUGACCACGGUAUAGUCAGCGACUGGGGUGAAGUCGUAACAAGGUA